UACGUAGGGUGCGAGCGUUGUCCGGAAUUACUGGGCGUAAAGAGCUCGUAGGUGGUUUGUCGCGUUGUUCGUGAAAACUCACAGCUUAACUGUGGGCGUGCGGGCGAUACGGGCAGACUGGAGUACUGCAGGGGAGACUGGAAUUCCUGGUGUAGCGGUGGAAUGCGCAGAUAUCAGGAGGAACACCGGUGGCGAAGGCGGCAUUCUGGACCGAUAUUGACGCUGAGGAGCGAAAGCCAGGGGAGCAAACGGG
rnacentral:rRNA from 1 species